CAGUCGUACCUGCGGACAAUCAGCCUUUUGGGUGUGAUUAUGUGGAGCGUGGGGAGCUAAUCGCCUUCAUCUUUGCAUAUUCGUGCACUUUGGGUGUACUUAUUCGUGUGGUAAGUUAACAUCAAUUUUGGUGAUCAUAAAAUGACUGGAGGAAUGUAGCUUCGAUCUCGUAUUGAAGUUGUUAUAGUCCUUUGGAGAUGUGAUGAUCAGGGUAUUGGAGGUAUUGCAGGCGGACUACCCGUUC
rnacentral:rRNA from 1 species